rnacentral:tRNA from 1 species
AUCGAAGAUCUCAGCUUCUUCAUAAGCUCCCACACGAAUUGCUUGAUUCACUGGUUAGACGAUUGGGUCUGUAGCUCAGUUGGUUAGAGCGCACCCCUGAUAAGGGUGAGGUCGGCAGUUCGAAUCUGCCCAGACCCACCAAUUGUUGGUGUGCUGCGUGAUCCGAUACGGGGCCAUAGCUCAGCUGGGAGAGCGCCUGCUUUGCACGCAGGAGGUCAGGAGUUCGAUCCUCCUUGGCUCCACCAUCUAAAACAAUCGUCGAAAGCUCAGAAAUGAAUGUUCGUGAAUGAACAUUGAUUUCUGGUCUUUGCACCAGAACUGUUCUUUAAAAAUUCGGGUAUGUGAUAGAAGUAAGACUGAAUGAUCUCUUUCACUGGUGAUCAUUCAAGUCAAGGUAAAAUUUGCGAGUUCAAGCGCGAAUUUUCGGCGAAUGUCGUCUUCACAGUAUAACCAGAUUGCUUGGGGUUAUAU